rnacentral:snoRNA from 1 species
UUUUAUGAUGAUCAAACUUUCUAUUUAAUAACUUUCGUUCUACCGAAUUACAUCAAACGAUGUUGAGGAGAAACUUUUAUUCUGAUU